rnacentral:lncRNA from 1 species
AUGUUUAAAGAAUUUACUAGGGUGAUUUGUAUUUUGUCAGUUCUGCAGACACGGCUUUUUUUUUUAAAGACAGGAGCUUUUAAGAUGUACUUCUUGAAGAGUGUACUUUUCCUUACAGUACUUACAAAACUCCUUACAGAAGUGCUGUUUGCGACACUCCGUGAAGUGGAAAAACAAAUUGAGAAGACAAACUCCUUCCCCCAGUUGCUUGGAACAGCUUUGUGUGUCUCAGACUGUCCCGAGGAGCCCCAGGGACAGGUCACAGACCCCAGGGAGCUGCCGGUGCAGGAAGCGGAGCCGGGACGUUGGGAGAGGCAGGAGAGGUGUCGCUGCAACAAAAAUUGGAAUUAUUUUUGUAAACACAAGAUCCUGGUGGUCACUGGAGAGGUAAGAGACUGCCCGUGUCAAUUUCCAAAAAAAUCCACAUGAAAAUAAUCAUCUGCCACCUUUGUCUGGAUAGUUAGGAUAAUUUCUUACCAGCCUAGUAAGUAAGAAAAAAAAAAUCAGUGGGGAAAUCCAGAUUUCGACUGCAGCUGGGCAACAGCCUGCCUCAUCUUAUUUUAAGCAAGGCAUGGAAAAAGAGUCCAGAUAAAAUUACAUUAGGUUCACAAUUGGCUAAAAUCACU